GGGGGGAGUGUCAGAUCCUGGGCUGUGUCCCCCGGUGCCCUGGGAUCUGGGGCCUGCACCGCUGGAAUCCUGCUCCUGGGGCCGCGCAGCCCCCU
rnacentral:pre_miRNA from 1 species